rnacentral:hammerhead_ribozyme from 1 species
AUCCUAUUGAGGAGUCCCACAAUAGGAUGAAACAGCUGUCUAGGUU